ensembl:lncRNA
CAAUAACAAUAUUGUUAUAUAAUAUUGUUAUAUUAUGUUAUAUUAUAUGUUGUGCAUAAAUAAUGUGUUUAAACAGUAGAAGAUAUUUUAAGUAAUGUGUUUUAAGGUGAUAUGAUGUAUGUGAAAUAAAAGGGGUGUGUGUCUUUGUAAGCAGGGGUGUUUUACAGGUAUGUAUAUUUAAUGGAAUGUCAUUGGCUCAUAGUUGUCUGUCAUAGGUCUGGAUUAAGCUGUGUUUUGCUGUUAGUUUUGGAGCACACUACUUUAUAAGGAAUAAUGGCUUUCAGUAGCCCUACUAAAAUACCACGUGUGGAGGGAGAAGAAUUUUUGAGAAUCAGAGAGAAGUUCUGUUUAUUAGCAUAUGCGGUGUUGGAUGAGACAGUGUGCAAACGGGAUUUGCAGAAGGAUUUGACAGAGCUAGGAGUGAAGGUCAUGAGGAAAGUAUCUGCAAUGGAUGCAGAAAGAAAAUAUCUGCGUAAGGAGUUGGCAGACACAGUCUGCAGGUUGAAGAAUACAGAAAAGCAGCUGGAAGUGGCAAGGGCUUCUCUGGAUUUUCAGGGAGAUGAUAUUUUGGAAGAUGGUAGAGAAGAUGGGAGUGAAAUUGAAGGCUUGGAUAUUGUGGAAGAAGAGAAUGUAGAUGAAUAAAGACGACAUCAGCAUUAAUGCAAUUUUCUGUGUAUAGUUUGUUGUUUAAUGCAGAAGUUGUUGUAAUGUAAAUAGUAGUGUGGAAAGUAAACAACGAAAAAAUAAAUAUAUUUGUAAGUUUUGAGAUGUAUAUGUGUUUUGUGGUUUUUGAUACUGAUAGUAUGUAGAAUAUGUAAUGAUGUAUAAGCGUAGAAAUGUAAAGGAGGGGAAAAUGUGAUUAUAGAAAGGGUAGAAAAAUAUAAGAUUUUCUCUGAUUUGAUUUUAAAAAAGUGUAAAUGUGAAGGUAAUGUUAUUUAGAUUGUUU